CUGAUGUAUGUGCGAGUCAACACAUGAGUAAACCUAAAAGGCACAAGGAAACUGAUUAGUGAGAUCCCUCACAGGUGAACCGCCGACCGACCUUGAUCUUCAGAGAAUGGUUUGAGUGUGAGCAUGCCUGUUAGGAAAGAUGGCUAUGCCUGAGUGCAGUGAAGCCAGAGGAAACUGUGGUGGAGGCUCGCAGCGAUAAUGACAUACAAAUCGUUCAUCAGAAUUGGGUAUAGGGGUGAAAGACUAAUCAAACCUUCUAAAAGCU
rnacentral:ncRNA from 1 species